rnacentral:rRNA from 1 species
GACCUGCGGAGGAUCAUUACCGAACCGUCAACACGAGUUGCUGCCGGCCCCCAACCGGGGGCGCCCGUGCACGCUCUGUUCACACAUCCACUCACACCUGUGCACCCUCUACGGUUCUGUGGCCUGGGUAGCUUUGCUCCCUUGCCGUGGUUCCGUAUCUUUACAAACGCACCGUAGUUAAGUUUUGUGGAAUGCAUGCCGCGUUUAACGCAACGCAAUACAACUUUCAGCAACGGAUCUCUUGGCUCUCGCAUCGAUGAAGAACGCAGCGAAAUGCGAUAAGUAAUGUGAAUUGCAGAAUUCAGUGAAUCAUCGAAUCUUUGAACGCACCUUGCGCCCUCUGGCUAUUCCGGAGGGCAUGCCUGUUUGAGUAUCAUGAACACCUCAACUCUCGUGGCUUGCCAACGAUGAGUUUGGACUUUGGGGGUCUUGCUGGCCUGCGGGUCGGCUCCUCUCAAAUCGAUCAGCUUCCCAGUGUUUGGUGGCAUCAUGGGUGUGAUAACUAUCUACGCUUGUGGUGUUCCUGCCAGGUGACCUCCAGCGAUGGGGGCCUCUGGAGCUUAUAAACGUCUCUCCGGGGACAGCCUUUUGAACGUUUGAUCUCAAAUCAGGUAGGACUACCCGCUGAACUUAAGCAUAUCAAUAAGCGGGAGGAA